UUACUACUCCCUCCGUUCGGAAUUACUUGUCGCAGAAAUGGAUGUAUCUAGAUGUAUUUUAGUUUUAGAUAUAUCCAUUUUCGUGACAAGUAAUUCCGAACAGAGGGAGUAUAUC
rfam:Triticum aestivum genome assembly, contig: Triticum_aestivum_CS42_TGACv1_scaffold_436290_5DL